GUACUCCCUUGGGCAGCACAUAUACUAAAAUUGGAACUAUACAGAGAAGAUUAGUAUGGCCACUGCAAGAGAAUGGCAUGAGAUUUCACAAAUGGCAUGAGAUUUCA
ensembl:snRNA U6 U6 spliceosomal RNA